rnacentral:rRNA from 1 species
AUUGAACGCUGGCGGCAGGCCUAACACAUGCAAGUCGAGCGGAUGAAGGGAGCUUGCUCCUGGAUUCAGCUGCGGACGGGUGAGUAAUGCCUAGGAAUCUGCCUGGUAGUUGGUGAUAACGUCCGGAAACGGGCGCUAAUACCGCAUACGUCCUUAGGGAGAAAGUGUGGGAUCUUCGGACCUCACGCUAUCAGAUGAGCCUAGGUCGGAUUAGCUAGUUGGUGGGGUAAAGGCCUACCAAGGCGACGAUCCGUAACUGGUCUGAGAGGAUGAUCAGUCACACUGGAACUGAGACACGGUCCAGACUCCUACGGGAGGCAGCAGUGGGGAAUAUUGGACAAUGGGCGAAAGCCUGAUCCAGCCAUACCGCGUGUGUGAAGAAGGUCUUCGGAUUGUAAAGCACUUUAAGUUGGGAGGAAGGGCAGUAAGUUAAUACCUUGCUGUUUUGACGUUACCAACAGAAUAAGCACCGGCUAACUUCGUG